GACGAACGCUGGCGGCGUGCCUAAUACAUGCAAGUAGGACGCAGUUGCGAACGGGUGAGUAACGCGUAGGUAACUACCUAUUAGAGGGGGAUAACUAUUGGAAACGAUAGUUAAUACCGCAUACUAGUAGAUGGACCUGCGCUGUAUUAGCUAGUAGGUAGGGUAAUGGCCUACCUAGGCAACGAUACAUAGCCGAACUGGGAGGGUGAUCGGACACAAUGGGACUGGAACACGGCCCAGACUCCUACGGGAGGGAGCAAUAAGGAAUCUUCGGCAAUGGGGGGAACGCUGGACAGGCAAAGGCGCGUGAGUGAAGAAGGUUUUCGGGUCGUAAAGCUCUGUUGUUAAGGAAACGGUACUUAACCAGAAAGGGACGGCUAACUACGUGCCAGCAGCCGCGGUAAUUC
rnacentral:rRNA from 1 species